GUUCCGGUUGAUCCUGCCGGAGGCCACUGCUAUUGGGAUCGAUUAGCCAUGCGAGUCGAGAGGGUUCGGCCCUCGGCAGACGGCUCAGUAACACGUGGAUAUCUACCCUUAGGUGGAGGAUAACCUCGGGAAACUGAGAAUAAUACUCCAUAGGUCUAGAAUGCUGGAAUGCAUCUAGGCUGAAAGUUCAGGCGCCUAAGGAUGAGUCUGCGGACUAUCAGGUAGUAGUCAGGGUAAUGACCUGACUAGCCUACGACGGAUACGGGUUGUGAGAGCAAUUGCCCGGAGACGAUAUCUGAGACACGAUAUCGGGCCCUACGGGGCGCAGCAGGCGCGAAACCUUCACACUGUGCGAGAGCACGAUGAGGGGAUCCCAAGUGCUAGCUCGUAAGAGUUAGCUGUUUCUUUGUCUAAAAAACAGAGAGAGUAAGGGCUGGGUAAGACGGGUGCCAGCCGCCGCGGUAAUACCUGCAGCUCAAGUGGUGGCCGCUAUUAUUGGGCCUAAAACGUUCGUAGCCGGUUUAGUAAAUGCUUGGGUAAAUUGUGUCGCUUAACGAUACGAAUACCGGGUAGACUGCUAAACUUGGGACCGGGAGAGGCUAGAGGUACUCCUGGGGUAGAGGUGAAAUUCUGUAAUCCUGGGGGGACCACCAGUGGCGAAGGCGUCUAGCUAGAACGGGUCUGACGGUGAGGAACGAAGCCCUGGGGCACAAACCGGAUUAGAUACCCGGGUAGUCCAGGGUGUAAACGCUGCUUGCUUGAUGUUAGUUGGGCUCCGAGCCCAACUAGUGUCGGAGAGAAGUUGUUAAGCAAGCUGCCUGGGAAGUACGGUCGCAAGAUUGAAACUUAAAGGAAUUGGCGGGGGAGCACA
rnacentral:rRNA from 1 species